rnacentral:rRNA from 1 species
GCCUACGGGGGGCAGCAGUGGGGAAUAUUGGACAAUGGGGGAAACCCUGAUCCAGCGACGCCGCGUGAGUGAAGAAGUAUUUCGGUAUGUAAAGCUCUAUCAAUAGGGAAGAAAGAAAUGACGGUACCUAAAUAAGAAGCCCCGGCUAACUACGUGCCAGCAGCCGCGGUAAUACGUAGGGGGCAAGCGUUAUCCGGAAUUACUGGGUGUAAAGGGUGAGUAGGCGGCACUGUAAGUAAGAUGUGAAAGCCUUAGGCUUAACCUGAGGAUUGCAUUAUAAACUGCAGAGCUAGAGUGCAGGAGAG